AUGGUUGUCAUAGACUCCCUGUCCGUGUGGCUGGAAGUGCAAGAAAAUGAGCCCAAGGGAGCCAUCGACUUCUCAUGUUGCUGCACUGUUUCAUGUACAAAAGGGAGGAUGGUAACACUUCCAGGUCCACCAGCAAAGAUGGACAAUCUCCCUAUGCAGCAGGCCCUCCAGCAGGAAGUCACAGAAACACAUGACAAUGAGGGCAAAGAGUCAAGCAAACUUCAUACAUGACAAUUAUGGGGAACAUCCAGCCUUAAUAAUACGGGCAGAGUGUCACAGUCCUUCCCCAAUAAUAAAACACCCCGUGACUUACCUUCCUGGAGGUUCUCCUCAAAUGUGAGUUGAUAAGUAAGAAAGAAAUCUAACAGGUAACUGCAUAUAAGAUGUGUUAUGUUUGUUAUAAACCACUGUUUCUUAUUAUUUUCCCCUUCACCUAGAUUUUUGCCUAGGGUAUGUGUGGUACAGCCUGGAA
rnacentral:lncRNA from 1 species